rnacentral:rRNA from 1 species
UACAGAGGUCUCAAGCGUUGUUCGGAUUCAUUGGGCGUAAAGGGUGUGUAGGUGGCGCCGUAAGUCGGGUGUGAAAUUUCGGAGCUUAACUCCGAAACUGCAUUCGAUACUGCGGUGCUUGAGGACUGGAGAGGAGACUGGAAUUCAUGGUGUAGCAGUGAAAUGCGUAGAGAUCAUGAGGAAGACCAGUGGCGAAGGCGGGUCUCUGGACAGUUCCUGACACUGAGACACGAAGGCCAG